rnacentral:piRNA from 1 species
AAACAUCACAGCUGGACGCCAGGAC